rnacentral:rRNA from 1 species
UUGGCUCAGGACGAACGCUGGCGGCAGGCCUAACACAUGCAAGUCGAACGGCAGCACAGGAGAGCUUGCUCUCUGGGUGGCGAGUGGCGGACGGGUGAGGAAUACAUCGGAAUCUACCUUUUCGUGGGGGAUAACGUAGGGAAACUUACGCUAAUACCGCAUACGACCUACGGGUGAAAGUGGGGGACCGCAAGGCCUCACGCGAUUAGAUGAGCCGAUGUCCGAUUAGCUAGUUGGCGGGGUAAUGGCCCACCAAGGCGACGAUCGGUAGCUGGUCUGAGAGGAUGAUCAGCCACACUGGAACUGAGACACGGUCCAGACUCCUACGGGAGGCAGCAGUAGGAG